UACGUAGGGGGCUAGCGUUGUCCGGAUUUAUUGGGCGUAAAGGGCGCGUAGGCGGCCAGGCAAGUGGAAGGUGAAAUCCCUCGGCUUAACCGAGGAACUGCCCUCCAAACUGCUUGGCUUGAGACCGGGAGAGGUGAGUGGAAUUCCCAGUGUAGCGGUGAAAUGCGUAGAUAUUGGGAGGAACACCAGUGGCGAAGGCGGCUCACUGGACCGGUACUGACGCUGAGGCGCGAAAGCGUGGGGAGCAAACGGG
rnacentral:rRNA from 1 species